CACGUAAAGGUGGGGACGUCUCAGUGGACUGCCGGCGACAAGCCGGAGGAGGGUGGGGACGACGUCAAGUCAUCAUGGCCCUCAUGUCCAGGGCGACACACGUGCUACAGUGGCCGGCACAACGGGAAGCGACGGCGCGAGUCGUAGCGGAUCCCUCAAAGCCGGUCCCAGUUCGGAUUGCAGUCUGCAACUCGACUGCAUGAAGCCGGAAUUGCUAGUAAUCGUGGAUCAGCCAAGCCGCGGUGAAUACGUUCCCGGGCCUU
rnacentral:rRNA from 1 species